UACGUAGGGACCAAGCGUUGUUCGGAUUUACUGGGCGUAAAGGGCGCGUAGGCGGCGCGGUAAGUCACUUGUGAAAUCUCUGAGCUUAACUCAGAACGGCCAAGUGAUACUGCAGUGCUAGAGUGUGGAAGGGGCAAUCGGAAUUCUUGGUGUAGCGGUGAAAUGCGUAGAUAUCAAGAGGAACACCUGAGGUGAAGACGGGUUGCUGGGCCAACACUGACGCUGGAUGCGCGGAAGCCAGGGGAGCAAACGGG
rnacentral:rRNA from 1 species